CAGUCGCCGCGGGAAUACGGAGGGUGCAAGCGUUAAUCGGGGUUACUGGGCGUAAAGCGUACGCAGGCGGUUUGUUAAGUCAGAUGUGAAAUCCCCGAGCUUAACUUGGGAACUGCAUUUGAAACUGGCAAGCUAGAGUCUUGUAGAGGGGGGUAGAAUUCCAGGUGUAGCGGUGAAAUGCGUAGAGAUCUGGAGGAAUACCGGUGGCGAAGGCGGCCCCCUGGACAAAGACUGACGCUCAGGUGCGAAAGCGUGGGGAGCAAACAGGAUUAGAUACCCCUGUAGUCCCUGUCUCUUAUAC
rnacentral:rRNA from 1 species